CCUACGGGAGGCAGCAGUAGGGAAUAUUGCUCAAUGGGGGAAACCCUGAAGCAGCAACGCCGCGUGGAGGAUGAAGGUUUUCGGAUUGUAAACUCCUUUUGUUAGAGAAGAUAAUGACGGUAUCUAACGAAUAAGCACCGGCUAACUCCGUGCCAGCAGCCGCGGUAAUACGGAGGGUGCAAGCGUUACUCGGAAUCACUGGGCGUAAAGAGGGCGUAGGCGGGAUAGCAAGUCAGAUGUGAAAUCCUAUGGCUUAACCAUAGAACUGCAUUUGAAACUGUUAUUCUAGAGUAUGGGAGAGGUAGGUGGAAUUCUUGGUGUAGGGGUAAAAUCCGUAGAUAUCAAGAGGAAUACUCAUUGCGAAGGCGACCUGCUAGAACAUAACUGACGCUGAUGCGCGAAAGCGUGGGGAGCAAACAGGAUUAGAUACCCGAGUAGUC
rnacentral:rRNA from 1 species